ACACCAAAUAACCAUAUGGCAUUCAGUAAGGACGUAGUGGUUCCUACUAUCUUCAUCCAGGCCUUGCUCCUCGUGGUCUAUUGUGCGGAGGCAAAGAUAUGCACCAGGCCUAAUCCAUUUUACCUUAGCUUAUGCCAAAGUGAUAAGGACUGUGGAGACUCGUGCAUUCAUUUUGGCAUCGGCACCAGCGGGUUCUGCAAGGGCAGAAGACCACCUACCAGAGUAUGCACAUGUAACUUUGAAUGUCCAAGGCAAGGACGAAGCAAUCUGCCAGGAGUCAAGCCGCUAUCCAGCGGGCAGAAGUUGUUGUCAUCUGGAGAUGAGCCGCCAUCUAGCAUGCCCGAAUUGGAACUGUCCAAUUGAAUGUUAUGCCCGAAUUGGAACUGGAACCUUUUGUUUCAUCAAUGAAACUGGAACCUUUUGUUUCCAUUA